rnacentral:lncRNA from 1 species
GCGACUCAUGAAGGUAGGUUGAAAUCAUUAAGUUUGAUCUGAGUCAGUCCUGUGGUUCAGUUAAUCAAGUUCCUUGUUCUUACUCUUUGAACAUGGUGUAUUCCAAAUGCACUUGGGCUGUUUGUGCUGCAAUGACUUUAUUGAAAACACUAGGGCAUAUUGAAUUGUCAAGCAUCAAAGGAAAAACAUCUAUACAUUUGUGCUUAUCUACUGGUGCAAUUCAGGGUUAGCCCAACAAGGUGUGUCUUCACACUUGUCAGUUCUCCAGCUACCUUUUCGUUCUAUCCCUUGUUUAUUGUUAACCCAUUGAUAUAAAAUUUUAAAUAGUUGAUGGUGUCUGUUUCUGUUUUCGUUUCUGUUUGAUUAUUUUGCUAGGGACUUUGAGUCACUGACUGAUGCAUACAGAGGGAGACGCGAGUGCUGCACAGUUGAUAUCAGACUAAUUUCA